rnacentral:rRNA from 1 species
GAUGAACGCUGGCGGCGUGCCUAAUACAUGCAAGUCGAGCGAACAGACGAGAGUGCUUGCACUCUCUGACGUUAGCGGCGGACGGGUGAGUAACACGUGGGUAACCUACCUAUAAGACUGGGAUAACUUCGGGAAACCGGAGCUAAUACCGGAUAAUAUUUAGCUUCGCAUGAAGCAAUAGUGAAAGACGGUUCUGCUGUCACUUAUAGAUGGACCCGCGGUGUAUUAGCUAGUUGGUGAGGUAACGGCUCACCAAGGCAACGAUACAUAGCCGACCUGAGAGGGUGAUCGGCCACACUGGGACUGAGACACGGCCCAGACUCCUACGGGAGGCAGCAGUAGGGAAUCUUCCGCGAUGGACGAAAGUCUGACGGAGCAAUGCCGCGUGAGUGAAGAAGGUUUUCGGAUCGUAAAACUCUGUUGUAAGGGAAGAACAAGUACGUUAGUAACUGAACGUACCUUGACGGUACCUUACCAGAAAGCCACGGCUAACUACGUG